ACGAACGUUGGCGGCGUGGAUUAGGCAUGCAAGUCGAGCGAGGACAGCUAAGUAGCAAUACAAGGCUGAGCCGAGCGGCGAAAGGGGCAGUAAGGCGUGGCUAACCUACCCUGGGGACUGGGAUAGCCUUCCUAACGGAAGGGUAAUACCGGGCGACGUGACGCGGGGGCCUCCUCGUGUCACCAAAUGAGUUUCGCCCUGGGAGGGGGUCACGUGGUAUUAGCUAGUUGGUGAGGUAAUGGCUCACCAAGGCUUAGAUGCCUAGCAGGUGUGAGAGCACGACCUGCGCCACUGGCACUGAGACACUGGCCAGACACCUACGGGUGGCUGCAGUCGAGGAUCUUCGGCAAUGGGCGCAAGCCUGACCGAGCGACGCCGCGUGUGCGAUGAAGGCCUUCGGGUUGUAAAGCACUGUCGAGGGGGAGGAAAGCCCGCAAGGGUCUGACCUAUCCCUGGAGGAAGGACGGGCUAAGUUCGU
rnacentral:rRNA from 1 species